rnacentral:rRNA from 1 species
CCAGCAGCCGCGGUAAUUCCAGCUCCAGUAGCGUAUAUUAAAGUUGCUGCAGUUAAAAAGCUCGUAGUUGGAUUUCUGGUGUGGUGGGUCCGGUCCGCCGCCGCUAGGCGUGUGAGUACUGGCGCCCGCCUGCCAUCCUUCCAGAGAGCCUGCCUACCCUUCACUGGGCCGGGUUGUGCGAUCUGGAUCGUUUACUUUGAAAAAAUUAGAGUGUUUAAAGCAGGCUUACGCUUCUGAAUACAUUAGCAUGGAAUAAUAAGAUAGGACUUUGGUUCUAUUUUGUUGGUUUCUAGGACUGAAGUAAUGAUUGAUAGGGACAGUUGGGGGUGCUAGUAUUUAACGGC